UAGAGCACGUCAAUGUGUGAUAGGGUACUUUUUGUAGAACGGUCCGGCGAGCGAUUGUAUGCAGCAAGGUUAAGGACUUAAGGUCUGGAGCCGAAGCGAAAGCGAGUUUGAAAAGGGCGUUAAGUUGCAUAUAAUGGGCCCGAAACCGGGUGACCUACCCAUGGUCAGGUUGAAGUGGAAGUAAAAUUCCAUGGAGGACCGAACCGACCUCCGUUGAAAAGGCGGCGGAUGAACUGUGGGUAGCGGAGAAAUUCCAAUCGAACCCGGAGAUAGCUGGUUCUCCCCGAAAUAGUUUUAGGACUAGCCUCAAGUUAGAUACCUGGAGGUAAAGCACUGAAUAGCCUAGCGGCCGAGAGGUUAGCGAAGCUUAUCAAACUCAGAAUGCCAGAGUAUUGAUGCUUGGGAGUCAGACAGUGUCAGAUAAAUGUCAUUGUCAAAAGGGAAACAGCCCAGAUCUACAGCUAAGGUCCCAAAGUCAGGUUAAGUGGAAAACGAUGUGAAGAUACGCAGACAACCAGGAUGUUGGCUCAGAAGCAGCCACUCAUUCAAAGAGUGCGUAAUAGCUCACUGGUCGAGCGUCUUUGCGCGGAGAAUUUAACGGGGCUAAACCUGACACCGAAGCUUAGGCAAUCCAGCAAUGGAUUGGGUAGGGGAGCGUUGUAUACGCGGAGAAACAGUAGCGUAAGCGGCUGUGGAGUGUAUAGAAGUGAGAAUGCCGGAAUGAGUAGCGCGAAUGCAGUGAGAAUCUGCAUGGCCGAAAGCCUCAGGUUUUUGGAGGAAGGUUCGUCCGCUCCAAGUUAGUCGGGAGCUAAGGUGAGGCCGGAAGGCGUAGCCGAUGCACAGACGGUAGAGAUUCCGUCACCACCAAAAGAGUUAAGCACAGGGACACAUUUGAAGUCUCAGAGCCGGGUGUUGGUUCCGGUAGAGAUCGAGGGAAGUUAGUACCGAAGUCUGGGAUGGAAGAUGGCGAGAAAAGCUGUGUGUAUUUCUGAGGUGCCCGUACCGCAAACCGACACAGGUAGGUAGGAAGAAGAUUCUAAGGCCAACGGGAGAAGGGUUGUUAAGGAACUCGGCAAAUUGACCCCGUAACUUCGGGAGAAGGGGUGCUCCAGAGAUGGAGCCGCAGAGAAUCGGCCCAAGCAACUGUUUACCAAAAACACAGGUUUGUGCUAAAUCGAAAGAUGACGUAUACGAGCUGACGCCUGCCCGGUGCUGGAAGGUUAAGAGGAGAUGUGCAAGCAUUGAAUCGAAGCCCCAGUGAACGGCGGCCGUAACUAUAACGGUCCUAAGGUAGCGAAAUUCCUUGUCAGGUAAGUUCUGACCCGCAUGAAAGGCGUAAUGAUUUGGGCACUGUCUCAACAGCCCGCCCGGCGAAAUUGUAGUACCGGUGAAGAUGCCGGUUACCCGCGACAAGACGGAAAGACCCCAUGGAGCUUUACUGUAGCCUAAUAUUGGGUUUCGAUGUUGCAUGCACAGGAUAGAUGGGACACUGGGAAACAAUCGCUUUGGCGGUUGCGGAGUGGCCGUUGGGAUACCAUCCUUGCGAUAUUGGAAUUCUAACCUGCGGCUCUGAAUCGAGUCGGGGGACAUUGUUAGGUGGGCAGUUUGACUGGGGCGGUCGCCUCCUAAAAAGUAACGGAGGCGUUCAAAGGUUCGCUCAGCUUGAACGGAAAUCAAGCAAAAGAGUGCAAACGCAGAAGCGAGCCUAACUGCGAGACUGACGGGUCGAGCAGUAACGAAAGUUGGAGUUAGUGAUCCGGUGGUAUGUGAGUGGAAAUGCCAUCGCUCAACGGAUAAAAGUUACCCUGGGGAUAACAGGCUGAUCUCCCCCAAGAGUCCACAUCGACGGGGAGGUUUGGCACCUCGAUGUCGGCUCAUCGCAUCCUGGGGCUGUAUUCGGUCCCAAGGGUUUGGCUGUUCGCCAAUUAAAGCGGUACGCGAGCUGGGUUCAGAACGUCGUGAGACAGUUCGGUCCCUAUCUGUCGUGGGCGCAGGAUAUUUGAUGGGAGCUGUCCCUAGUACGAGAGGACCGGGACGGACGUACCUCUGGCGCACCAGUUGUUCCGCCAGGAGCAUAGCUGGGCAACUACGUACGGAUCGGAUAAACGCUGAAAGCAUCUAAGCGUGAAGCCGACCCAAAGAUAAGAUAUCCCACUGAUUUGAUCAGGUAAGACCCCUUGAAGACUACAAGGUCGAUAGGCACGAUGUGUAAGUGGAGCGAUCCAUUCAGCAAGCGUGUACUAAUAGGUCGAGGGCUUGACCA
rnacentral:rRNA from 1 species